UGCUUGCACCUUUCAAGCGAGUGGCGAACGGGUGAGUAACACGUGGAUAACCUGCCUCAAGGCUGGGGAUAACAUUUGGAAACAGAUGCUAAUACCGAAUAAAACUUAGUAUCGCAUGAUACAAAGUUGAAAGGCGCUACGGCGUCACCUAGAGAUGGGUCCGCGGUGCAUUAGUUAGUUGGUGGGGUAAAGGCCUACCAAGACAAUGAUGCAUAGCCGAGUUGAGAGACUGAUCGGCCACAUUGGGACUGAGACACGGCCCAAACUCCUACGGGAGGCUGCAGUAGGGAAUCUUCCACAAUGGGCGAAAGCCUGAUGGAGCAACGCCGCGUGUGUGAUGAAGGCUUUAGGGUCGUAAAGCACUGUUGUAUGGGAAGAAAUGCUAGAAUAGGGAAUGAUUCUAGUUCGACGGUACCAUACCAGAAAGGGACGGCUAAAUACGUGCCAGCAGCCGCGGUAAUACGUAUGUCCCGAGCGUUAUCCGGAUUUAUUGGGCGUAAAGCGAGCGCAGACGGUUGAUUAAGUCUGAUGUGAAAGCCCGGAGCUCAACUCCGGAAUGGCAUUGGAAACUGGUUAACUUGAGUGUUGUAGAGGUAAGUGGAACUCCUGUGUAAAACCG
rnacentral:rRNA from 1 species